ACUCCGGCAACGGUCAUUCCAGAGCUUUGUAUUUACAGGAUUCUGCUGUAAAGUAUAGUGGCGUCUGGCCAUGGGAACUGAAGAGCCAAAAGAUCCAUUCAAGGGGGUUGACUGGAAAGCCAUAGGCGGUGAAUUGCAGAAGGACCCUAGUGCUGGUGCUAAACCAGUCAUAAAGAAACGGUUACCAAAAAAGAUUAGACAAAUUCCAGAUUACUAUUUCCUUCCUCGAAGAUCUCUACCCUCUGCAAUUGCAUUC
rnacentral:misc_RNA from 1 species